CGUUGGGAAGGUGACAUCUCAACUCGGGGUAGAGUCUCUCUGUAAUCAAGAGAAUCACUGGACUCGGUCGGUAAAUACACACAUCUGCUCCUUUUUGCUCGUGAAGCUCCUAUUUGCCCAGCCCCUGGAAACAGAACCAAAGUCAGGUUAAAGCAUUUUUCACAAAAAAAAAAGGAGUGCCUUGUAUGCUUCUUCUUCAAAAUAUUUCUCACUCUGACUCAAUCUCUCAUCUAGCUUUUUUUUUUUAUCUUUUCUAGAAAAUUUUACCAUUGAUGUGAAGACUACUCCCAGCGCGUACACCACCGCUGGCAAGAGCCCGAGCACCAUCAUCAACCGUACGUUUCUGAUAAAUGUUAGGAUCAACAAAAGAUGGAAGCUUCUUUUUUGCAGGGUGAAUUCUGAGCCCAAAAUCCUGCAAGUCUCUCAUCCGAGGUGUUGUUUCAGAAUAAUCCACUUCCUUGGCCAUCUCCGGAGGAAAGAAACCUCCACCAGACUCACUUUCACAAUACAUAAAAGAACUUGCAUGGUUUUCAUUGUCAUUUCCGAGUGUUUCAGGUGGCGAUGCAAACACACCCUUUUUGAAAGUAUUCGAAGGUCUACCACCUGAUCUCCCUUGCUUCUUCAAAAUCUGUUUCUCAAGCUCAAGAGCAUGAAGAAUGGCGUCUUCUCGGCGCGCAUACUUCUCUCUCUUCUUC
rnacentral:lncRNA from 1 species